CGUAGCUCGCCUCAGUCGCGCCUGGGGAACUCGGAGCGCGAGAUUCGGCGAAAAGUGACCCGCGCCGUCGACUUCGUGAUCGUGUUUCUUGGGGGCCGUGGUUGGACGCUUGCUACGACUAACUACCUGGGCCAACGCCUUCGGGCGAAAAAGACCUGUCACUGUGAGAGCUUCAGUAGUGUUUCUUCCACAUGUAGCGAUCGUCAAUAUAUAGGACACGAAACUUGGUGCGCCCUCUUCAAAAGUUUGAAAGUUUUGAUCGCCAGCCGGGCUCGUGCGCGCACGCGAUGCAGUGAAGGGACGAAUGACUGAAGUGGCAUCUGCGCCCAUCUGUUGCAGGCACUGGUGACACUGGUGUUCGUUGCUGAGAACUGCGAAGACUUCCUUCGGUGCUCAAUAGCGGCACCCGCGAACGUGGCUGAAUCUCUUGUCAAUGAGUGAAGUUUAGGUAUCGCCUAUUUCUUAUUCGCAGAGACAGCGGAAGUGUAAUUGCUUUUUUCCCUCGCAGCUGCGUUUACGACGUUAUCGUGUCUUAAAGCACACGCAUAACACGUGGUUGCGGACCUCUAGUUAUCCUGUAUCAGCUGGCGCUCUUUAGUCCUCUUGGUUUAUUUCACCAACCAACUGACAUUUCGUUCUCGUCUCGUGAAUGAUGCGUAAAAUACACCCGUGUAUCAUUUUUAUUUUUCCUGUGUGCGCCGAUCAUAAUUUGAGCUGAGCCUUCGGACACAUUUUUGGAAACUGUGUACCGUGAGCUUUCAACCAGAACUGUGUAUACCUGCUGCCAAUACUGCACCUCAAACGGACGCAACUUGCCUGGCAGACAACAAUGCGACGUCGUCGGCUCUCUCUUCGGGACUGACAUCUGUAAACUCGCCGGCCCGCGUCCCAGUCGUCAGACGUUUGUCCACUUCUUGGUGUGAAGUUUGGCUUCCUUAUAAGGAACCGUGGGCAUUAACGCAGCAUACUUAGGCGCUGUAAGGAGCACCGCAAGGCCGCUGGCAAACUUGGAGACAGUAUCCGAUUCCAGGAACUUUAGUUCCUCCUGUCCCACCUGGCCACAGCAACAUCCGGGAGAGCACGGUCCAGUUAACACACCGCAACAAAACACGGAGACCAACGCAAACGUGCCCAGAUGGUGCCUGUGCCAUGGAACGAAACCUACGCAGCAACACGUGUGAGCGCACACAACAAUAACAACGCCGCCAGUGGGGUGCGAAAGGCAUGGCCGCUACAGCAAAAGAAAUAAAAGAAGCAAAAAAAAGG